rnacentral:lncRNA from 1 species
CAGCACAAAUUGUUUUUUUGCGUGGUGGCGAUCCGCUGCUCUUCUGCAUGGCCAUAUCCUCACGAGUGGCCUCGAGCUUGCCGCCGCAGCGCAGACAGACCUAGUUUCAGUGACUUUCCUCUGGCAAAUCACAACGUAACUUACCCAUACUUCUCUACCCUCUAAAUCCGAUCUAAAGGUUAUCCUUCAUCUUGAUCAAAAAGAAAACAAAAAUAAUUAUUGAGCCCACCUGUUAGUCUCAGUGUCUUCUUCUCCUCCGUCUGCAUCUCAUUCAUGUCCGAUGGGCGGGGGCGACAUGACCUGCGUCUCUCCCCAUCAGCGCGCUUCAACAUCCGUGGCAACUUCGUGUUGCCAGAGCCAGACCAUGACAAGGCCCCCACCCCUCCAUCCCCCUUCUCCCUCCAGCCUCCAUGUCGUUCUUCUUUUUCGCAAGCCAUUGCCC